ACGACCUUACUUGAACAGGAUCUGUUCUAUAGGCUCGUACCAUUGUGUCCUUGAGUUCUAAGGAGACAAGAACCUAAGCCUGGUUGAUGAAUCAUGGCCGUGUAAUCAGAGCGUGAUUAAUGGGCUCUGAUGGAUCUCUCUUCUGAGAGUGUCAUCUGUGGCAAUAGAGGAUCGUUCUUAGGCAGUGUUCCACACCGUCUGGGAUGGUUACACGGUUGUCUGACAGGCU